AAGGGCACCACAAGAACGCGUGGAGCAUGUGGCUUAAUUUGACUCAACGCGGGAAAUCUUACCGGGUCCGGACACACUAAGGAUUGACAGGUAAAGUAAUCAAUUCUUCUUUUUUGAAGAUUGGUUCUGCAAAUAUGCUAGUCCUUUCAUGAUUGUGUGAUAGGUGGUGCAUGGCCGUUCUUAGUUCGUGGAAUAAUCUGUCUGCUUAAUUGCGUUAAUAUAUGGUGUCAAUGUUCUGAUAAACCCUCAGUUUGAAUGUUUUGCCUUUCGGGGUGAUAUACCAUUCAGAGGCUGGAACUUGGCACUUUAUGAAACGAACGUGACCUCAACCUCUUGUUAGCAGAUGUCAUUUGAUAUUUUUUAUAUCAGAAAAGAUUCAGCAUACGAGGGGGAUUGCCAAGUUGAAAGUGGAUGAAAGUUGAGGCAAUAACAGGUCUGUGAUGCCCUUAGAUGUCCCGGGCUGCACACGUGCUACAAUGAUCUAUGCAGUAAGUAUCUACACAGACUCCUACCAUUUGGUAUGGAGCAAGCCUGCUUCGAAAGUAAGUAGGUAAUCAAUUCGAAGUAUAGAUUUCCUUUUUGCCGUAUGUACCUUUAUUUUUAAAGGUACUACAGCUCUUUUUCAAGACUUCAUAGUGGGGACAGACCUUUGUUAAUUGUUGGUCUCGUUUUCAACUAGGAAUGCCUUGUACUGGUCUUUGGUUCAACAAACCACCAGGAAUACGUCCCUGCCCUUUGUACACACCGCCCGUCGCUCUUACCGAUGGACUUCUCUGUGAGUUUGAGGGACUGGUUUUAUUUGUAUAAUUCAAAUAUAUUCAAACAAUGUUUUGUUUUGUACACUAAAAUACUUUCCGGGAAACUUAAGCGAACAGCCGGGUCUAAAGGAAAGAGAAGUCG
rnacentral:rRNA from 1 species